rnacentral:rRNA from 1 species
UACGAAGGGGGCUAGCGUUACUCGGAAUGACUGGGCGUAAAGGGCUCGUAGGCGGCCAACUAAGUCAGACGUGAAAUCCCUCGGCUUAACCGGGGAACUGCGUCUGAUACUGGAUGGCUUGAAUCCGGGAGAGGGAUGCGGAAUUCCAGGUGUAGCGGUGAAAUGCGUAGAUAUCUGGAGGAACACCGGUGGCGAAGGCGGCAUCCUGGACCGGCAUUGACGCUGAGGAGCGAAAGCCAGGGGAGCAAACGGG